AACGCACCUUGCGCCCUCUGGUAUUCCGGAGGGCAUGCCUGUUUGAGUGUCAUGUAGACUCAAUCCCUCGGGUUUCCGAGGAGAUUGGACUUGGGUGUUGCCGCUCUGCCGGCUCACCUUAAAAGACUUAGCGGGAUAGCACCGUAGUCGGCGUAAUAAGUUUCGUCGGUGAAGGUUGUGAUGACUGCUUACAAUCGCCCUCGGGCAAUUUUUGACUCUGACCUCAAAUCAGGUAGGACUACCCGCUGAACUUAA
rnacentral:misc_RNA from 1 species